AGUGAACGCUGGCGGUAGGCCUAACACAUGCAAGUCGAACGGCAGCACAGUAAGAGCUUGCUCUUACGGGUGGCGAGUGGCGGACGGGUGAGGAAUACAUCGGAAUCUACUUUUUCGUGGGGGAUAACGUAGGGAAACUUACGCUAAUACCGCAUACGACCUACGGGUGAAAGCAGGGGAUCUUCGGACCUUGCGCUAUUGAAUGAGCCGAUGUCGGAUUAGCUAGUUGGCGGGGUAAAGGCCCACCAAGGCGACCAUCCGUAGCUGGUCUGAGAGGAUGAUCAGCCACCCUGGAACUGAGACAGGGUCCAGACUCCUAGGGGGGGCAGCAGUGGGGAAUAUUGGACAAUGGGGGCAAGCCUGAUCCAGCCAUACCGCGUGGGUGAAGAAGGCCUUCGGGUUGUAAAGCCCUUUUGUUGGGAAAGAAGAGCAGCAGGUUAAUACCCCGCUGUUCUGACGGUACCCAAGGAAUAAGCACCGGCUAACUUCGUG
rnacentral:rRNA from 1 species